AGCUCCAAUAGCGUAUACUAAUGUUGUUGCAGUUAAAAAGCUCGUAGUCGGAUUUCAGUUUGAUUUUGGUACUUCUACCCGGAGAUCCUUAAUCAUUCUUCCUUGACAUAAACAUCUAUGUCCUUCAUUGGAUGUGGCUUGGGAGUGUCUCUUUUACUUUGAGAAAAUUAGAGUGUUCAAAGCAGGUGUCCGCCUGAAUAUUACUCUUGGAAUAAUACUAUAGGACUUUGGUUCUGCUUUGUUGGUGUUCAGAGCCAGAGUAAUGAUUGAUAGGGACGGUUGGGGUCAUUAGUACUGCAAAGCGAGAGGUGAAAUUCUUGGACCUUUGUAUGACUAACAACUGCGAAAGCAUUUGACUAGGACGUUCCCGUUG
rnacentral:rRNA from 1 species